rnacentral:ncRNA from 1 species
AAAGACUUAGUCCUAACCUUACCGUUAAUUUUUGCUAAACAUAUACAUGCAAGUAUCUGCGCCCCAGUGUAAAUGCCCUCGGCCUGCUUACUUAUGUAAGCACAGAUGGAGCGGGUAUCAGGCACGCCUGCAGCUGCAGCCCAAGACACCUUGCCCAGCCACACCCCCACGGGUAUUUCAGCAGUAAUUAACAUUAAGCAAUAAGCGCAAGCUUGACUUAGUUAUGGCAACUCAGGGUUGGUAAAUCUUGUGCCAGCCACCGCGGUCAUACAAGAAACCCAAGUUAACUGUAAUACGGCGUAAAGAGUGGUACACGCGCUAUCGUAACAACUGGGGUUAAAGUGCAGUCAAGCCGUCAUAAGCCUACAAUGCACCUAAACUUCCCCUUAAGACGACCCCAGCAACCACGACCUAUCAACCCCACGAAAGCUAGGGCACAAACUGGGAUUAGAUACCCCACUAUGCCUAGCCCUAAAUCUUGGCACCUAUCCCACUGAAGUGCCCGCCCGAGAACUACGAGCACAAACGCUUAAAACUCUAAGGACUUGGCGGUGUCCCAACCCCCUAGAGGAGCCUGUUCUAUAAUCGAUAACCCACGAUCCACCCAACCCCCCCUCGCCUAGAGCAGCCUACAUACCGCCGUCGUCAGCUCACCUCCCCUGAGAGCGCAACAGUGAGCUUAAUAGCCCAAACCCGCUAAUAAGACAGGUCAAGGUAUAGCCUAUGGGGAGGAAAGAAAUGGGCUACAUUUCCUAAGCAUAGGAAACAACGAAAAGGGGCGUGAAACAGCCCCUAGAAGGCGGAUUUAGCAGUAAAGCGGGACAAUAUCGCCCUCUUUAAACCCGGCCCUGGGACACGUACACACCGCCCGUCACCCUCCUCGCAAGCUCAUCCAGCACUAUAAAUAAUUCGCCCACCAGCCAAAGACGAGGUAAGUCGUAACAAGGUAAGUGUACCGGAAGGUGCACUUAGCAU